rnacentral:rRNA from 1 species
AACGAACGCUGGCGGCGUGGAUAAGACAUGCAAGUCGAACGGGAUUACUUUUGGUAGCAAUACCGAAAGUAAUUCAGUGGCGAACGGGUGCGUAACACGUGGGCAAUCUGCCGAAAAGUGGGGGAUAGCUCGCCGAAAGGCGAAUUAAUACCGCAUGUGGUGAGGGACGACAUCUUCCUGAAUCCAAAGCCGGGGCAACCUGGCGCUUUUUGAGGAGCCCGCGGCCUAUCAGCUAGUUGGCGGGGUAACGGCCCACCAAGGCUAUGACGGGUAGCUGGUCUGAGAGGACGACCAGUCACACUGGAACUGAGACACGGUCCAGACACCUACGGGUGGCAGCAGUCGAGAAUUUUCUCAAUGGGGGAAAACCCUGAAGGAGCGACGCCGCGUGGAGGAUG